rnacentral:rRNA from 1 species
GACGAACCGUGCGAACGUUGUUCGGAAUCAUUGGGCUUAAAGGGUGCGUAGGCUGGUCCUCAAGUCUGUGGUGAAAUCCCCCGGCUCAACCGGGGAACUGCCGUGGAUACUGGGGGUCUCGAGGGGUGUAGGGGCAUGUGGAACUCAGGGUGGAGCGGUGAAAUGCGUAGAUAUCUGGAGGAACACCGGUGGCGAAGGCGACAUCCUGGACCGGUAUUGACGCUGAGGCGCGAAAGCCAGGGGAGCAAACGGG